ACUUGGUGAGUAGGCCAGCGACGGACUGUAUUUGGCAGACUGAGGAUUGUAGCUUGGGGAUGUAGGACUAUAGGUUGGUGAAGUUGGGCUAUAACUUGGUGAAGUUGGACUAUAACCAGGAGAAGUGGGGCUAUAGGCUGGUGAAGUGGGGCUGUACGAUGGAGAAGUAGGGCUGUAUGACGGUGAGGUAGGGCUGUACGAAGGUGAUGUUGGGCUGUAGGAAGGAGAGGUUGGGCUGUACGAUGGUGAGGUGGGGCUGUAUGCAGGUGAGGUGGGGCUAUAUGCAGGUGAGGUGGGGCUAUAUGCCGGUGAGGUGGGGCUAUAGCUUGGUGAAGUUGGACUGUAACUGGGAGAAGUGGGGCUGUAACUUGGAGAGGUCGGGCUGUAGCUUGGGGAUGUUGGGCUGUAACUUGGGGAGGUUGGGCUAUAGCUUGGUGAAGUAGGUGAGUACGAUGGACUGGUAGGAGAAUAGGCAGGACUGGUUGGACUAUAACCAGGAGAACUUGGACUAUAAGUUGGUGAGGUAGGGCUAUAUCCAGGCGAGGUGGGACUGUAUCCAGGCGAAGUUGGGCUGUAUCCAGGUGACGUGGGACUGUAUCCAGGAGAUGACGGACUGUAGCCUGGUGAUGAUGGGCUGUAUCCGGGUGAUGAAGUAGGAGAGAAGGCCAUUCCACCAACAUAAGGAGAAAACUGGGCAUCCGUGACCGGGGACAGACGGAGAUU
rnacentral:lncRNA from 1 species